ACCGGACCGGGUUCAGGGACGGCCUGGGUCCCACUUGGAAACCGGACCGGGUUCAGGGACGGCCUGGGUCCCACUUGGAAACCGGACCGGCUCCGGGGACGGCCUGGGUCCCACCUGGGAACCAGACCGGGUUCAGGGACAGCCUGUCUCCCACUUGGGAACCGGAUGAGCUCUAGGAACGACCUGGGUCCCACUUGGAAAUCGGACCGGGUUCAGGGACGACCUUGGUCCCACCUGGGAACCAGACCGGGUUCAGGGACGGCCUGGGUCCCACCUGGAAACCGGACCAGGUGCAUUCACGGCCUGGGCCUCUCUUCGAAACCGGAUUAGGUCUGAAGUCAGGCUGGAUCCAACUUAAACUGAACUGAGUCUAGUAUGAGGCCUCAGGUUCUGGUGACCAGGACAUCCCACUCCCUCCAAAGCCUGCAGCCAGGAUCCAUGGAAAACUGGCAGAAGCCAGCAGAAGAGUAAGUAUUCUUACCAGUCAGCUCUCCCAGAUGUCUAUUUGUGGUGCCUGAUCGAGAAAGGAAGGUAAAAUUUCAUGUCCUUCUUUAUCUUUAUUAAUGUUUAUUUUUGAGAGAGAGACAGAGUGCCAGCAGGGGAGGGGCAGAGAGAGAGGAGACACAGAAUGUGAAGCAGGCUCCAGGCUCUGAGCUGCCACCACAGAACCCAACGGUGGGGCUCAAACCCAAGAACCAGGAGAUCGUGACUUGAGCUGAGGUCUGAAGCUUAACCAAUGGAGCCACCCAGGCACCCAUCAUAUCGUUCUUUUACAAAUUCAGAUUGGCAGGGAAAAAAAAUCUUUGCAUUGUGACUGGUCAGUUUGCUCUCAAGUGCCCAUUGGUUGUUAAUCCUUCCUCAGAACAGCUAUUACCUUAUUUGCCUCAUUUUCUGUCAUGAGAACUUGGUUUGUCAGCCAUCAGGUUGGGGGCCCCCCAAAAUAUGGCCAAACAGAAAUGUUGCCUCCCAUUUGCAACUAGAUACAGCUGACAAAUGUGGGUUGCACUCCACUUGCUUCUAGGGUCCUACUAACUAUUGCCAGAUCUCAGUGGAACUGAGGGUUUUUUCCCCCCUGGGUUAUCUUUUGUAGAGACUCUGGAUCUUGAGAGGAUAUUAUCGUUUGUACCCUCUUUGGGAUCACCUUUUGCAUCCACAGGGUUGUUCAAUACUGCCAGGAAUCGUUACUGUUUGUCCUGGAUGAAAUCUUACGAUUCAAAUUGAUUUUUGCACAAAUAAACUCUUAAAAUUUUUAAUACGCUUCAGUUUGCUUUUUAACAGCCUGCACUAAUGGAGACAAUUGUAUGACAGCCGCAUAAUCCUCCAUGCCCGGGGGGUGGGUAAGACACAAGAGCUCUGUUUAUAGUACUGCAUUUAAAAGAUUACCAAAUUAUCAUUCACUGAAAAAUAUGUUGUUUAUUCACCUCCUUAAUCAUAAUUUUAAAAAAACUCAUAAUAUAAAAAAUAAAUUAGAGAGACAAAAUCUGAACUAGAAGACCUCCGUUUGGCCCUUGGACCAUUAUCUCAAUGAAAAGGCAGCCAUUUUAAAAAACCAGCCUUACCAAGCUCUGGGAAAACUUGAAGGCAUCUAAAAAAGUCAUUAGCAUAUCCAGCCACCAGGUGUCACCAUUGGUUUAAGCAAAUGUGCUCUAUCUAGCUCUAGGCUAAUUCAUAGUUUUGGAUCUCUGCAACAUUAGAUGGCAUCUCACCUUGACAAUUGUUGAAACAGGGUCCAGUUAGUUCCAACCUAUUUAUGGAGAAAUUAGAACUCAUUCUAGCAACUUCAAACUUCCUUUCUCGUGCUUUCAUGUAUUUUUAUUAAAUAGAAAAAAUAAAUGAAACCAGCUCAGUAAUGCCCUUUAGACUAGUAAACUACAAUUAGGAAGAAUUAUAUGAAAACAGUUGUCUGUGUCACAGGGGCAAGAUUCAGGUAACAGUGUUUGCUCACCGUUUCCCCUUUUAAAACUGCACUCUCCCAUACUGCCCGUUGAAACAUCUUCACAAAGGGAAAAGGAGUGGGGAAGAACUUGCCAAUUGAGGUCCAAUUAAAAUGUGUUCUUUUUAGGCAGAUGAUAUUUAGAUAAUAGUCCCUAGGAAGGCAGUUCAUAUUCUGAAAUUUACAAAUGAUUUUUUCAAUGUAUGGGUGUAUCCAGGAUUCCUUAGUUUCUCUAUUUUUUGAUUAAUAUAAAGUUUAAGUGUUAAUAUCUUUUGUUGCUAAUCCUUGGCUUCUCUAUAGAUUGACAAGUAGUCUGCCAUUUAUACAAAUCCAUUUUCUGUCCAACAAGACUCCUUCUGUAUCCUCACCCUCAUUCAAAUAUUCCAACAAGCAAUUCUUUUAAAUUUCUACCUCCUUCCAUCUCAUGACUACUGCCUUCUCAGGGAGAAAACAUCGGAUAGAUUUCUGUUUCCUAAAGAUACUGCAAAGAUAUCUUGGCAGUUCCUCACUACAUAGAAACCAUCAGUAUUGGUUUUCCCACUACAAAUGUAAAUCUUGAAACAAGAAACAAUACAUGAUAAGAGCAAAGGCCAAAGGGGAAAGCAAUGAAGUGUGUGUCUGAGAUUGGAAGGAAGAAAAUACCAAGUAAGAAUUUACCCCUGGCUUGUUCUUAUUAAAUCACAUGAUUCUGCCAUUGUGUUUUUUAUAGCCCCAUGAUUUUGUUUUUCUUUUAUUUGGCAAACAAAAUUAAACUCACUAUUCAAACAAAAUGACAUGAAAUUGUGUGAGCCAAGAUGAACAAAAAUGCACAGUUGAUUUAUUUAAGUUCCAGGAAUAAUAGUCAAUGAGUUUGAAUAAAAUGUGCUGUUAAAAACAGGACAUUAAAGAUAAUUUAAAUAUAUUCAGUGCAGUCAUUCAUUCUAGUUUCAUGCACGUUAAGUAGGUUUUUUAUCUCUAAGGUGCCAUCAACGGAACUCUCCGACAUUCAAAAUACCAGUAUUAUAUCAUUAACACAUUUCUGGUCAAUGAGUUGAGUAAUGUAGAACUUAUGAAAAUAUGUAUUGCCAUUCUCUUUCAAAUGAGCUGCAUAUUACAUCCAUUAACAUAACUAUAUUGAUCUAAUUUCGUUAUUUUCAGUAGAGUGCAGUUUGGAAAUAUAAAAUUGACAAAUGAGAGCCAAAGAAGAGGGGGCUAACAUCAAAGAUCAUAAAUUACAAAACCUCAAUAAGGAAUAUCUUUGUAAUUGCCAUAAUGUGGAAGUGUUAAAUAGCAUGCAUUUAGUUUUUUAAAAAAGAGAAAAUCUUACAUGUUUUAACCAUUUUAUUUUGACCAGACUAUAUCUGUUGGUAGUAGAUUAUUUACUCUUCCUUUCAGAGAGCUAGUUGGAGUACACCUAAUUAUCUAGAUUAUUUAUCAUAUGACUGUGGGAAGGUCAAAUCAUAUGACUGUGGGAAGGAUGGAUACUUGGGUUCUACUCCCAGAGAUUCUUGCUUUAUUUGGCCUGGGGUGUGAUCUGAGCAUCAGAUAUUUAAAAGCUUCCCAGGUAGUUAUGAGGCAGACAAGGUUGACAGUCACUGUACCAAUUUCAUUUUACACAAAUGGAUGUUAACACUCUUACUGUUAUUUUCAAUGUUAUUUAAUAAAGGGGCUUAGUUGCAAAUAGGAAUUAAAAUGUGCUUGAGGAAAUCUUUCAAAUUACUGCAAAACAUAACUGCAGAUUAAAUAUUCUUUACAACCAAAGGAAGAAGAACAUGGAAUCAGUAGAUGCACCUUCAUGCAUCUCUUAAUUAAUCAACGGAUCCAUUACAAAAUUCCCAAACGCCAAUUUUCUGGAGCUUCCAAACAAUUUUGGUGUUACAAAAAAAAAAAAAAAAAGGGCAAACUAAAAAAACCUAAUAUCAAAUAAUUUGGGGUUAAAUAGACUUUUCUAUAGGAUUUCCUAGAAUUUAUAAUGGUAAUAGACUGUAAAUCUUCAAAAGGGAUAGGAUGCCCUGUCCUGUGUAAGAUGCAGUAUGUUGAAUGGUUGAAGGAAUCGUGGAUUCAUGGAACACACUUUAGGAAAUGCAAUCCACAUAUAUGUCUUUUAAGACAAUGAUAAUUAAUACCUGCAGCCAAAAAUGUUAUCCAAAGAUUUCACUCUGCAGGUCUGAAUUACCACUUGCUUUUUAACCUUCUCCUUUGGAUAAAACAUUAUAUUGCCUUCAAAUAUUUGAAAGUGUUCUACCAGAGGAAUUAAGACUACCAACUCAGGAGUAAAGCUUCUUAUGUUCACACCAGCAUUUUUUACUUAAUCUCUCUGUGCUUCAGUAUCUUCACCUGCAAAAUGGGGGAAAUGUAUCCCCCCCCCCCCACCUCAGGGUAUGUAGCACUUGAGAAACUUAGGUCCUUGACAUUCUGUUACAAUAACAAAAGUGACACUUAAAAGUGAAGGGCCAAACUACCAUAUAAAGAAUUUCAAAGGAAAUUUCUUCUGAGAAUCUAUUCCAUGACUUCUGAACCCUCUGGCCUACUUUGAGAAUAUGAAAGAAUUGAAAAGAAAGGAGAAGGGAUAUCUGUGAAGGGAACACUCUAAAAAGAGCUGUUGCCUUAUUAAUAGUCCACCACCCCACUCUAUAUUAAGGAUUCAGAUAGGUCCACUUGGCCAUCCUGAAUGUUGCACCCCUGUACUUUGGGGAUCCCAGGCCUGCCAUUUGCUUUCUACUCAAGGGAUCUAGAGGACUAGGGACGCCUGGAUAACUGCUCUGGAGGCAGAUCCACCUCAUUCUCAGAGUUCUUCAGGCAACAGGACACUAGCAUGUUUCGUGUGGACCGGAGGUAGGCAGCUGAUUAGAGUCUGGCCCAGUAGCAAGAAGCUGGAGGUGAGGACAAAUUCCCAGGAUACAAAGCAGUAGGAGCAAGUGGCUACCAGAAUUCCAAAUAGCUCAGCCAGCCAGCAACAGGAGCACUAGAAGAAGGAGAUCUCCAGCACCUGGAAAGAUGCCACAAAAGUACUCCAUGAGGAAAAAAUCUGCUUAAAACCAAAAGGCCCAAAAUGGCUAUAUAGAGAAAGUCUAAUGAGAGCCUCUUUCCAGGGAAGACUGCAGGGAAAACAGUCCCAGGCUGGGCCAAAGGAGAUUUUCCUGUUAAAUUAAGGGCAGAGCUUGGUUAAUAUCCUGGGCCCCCAAAUCUAAUUAUUGAAUUGAGCCUGUUUCGUGAUCUUAAUUGACAGUGGGAUGAUCUAUGACCUAAGCAUGAGAAGAAAAGUCACAGGGUCUGGAGAAAUUUUCAUCCAAGGGAACCAGUGAUUACUGAGUGAAUUUUAAAGGGGCAGAAAGACAAAAAUAAUCUGAUUACAUACCAUGAAUCCUGCAACACAUGCAUGUGUAUAUUUUAAAAUAGAAUGUUUCAUAAAUUCCCAUGAAUUGCAGGAUGAUAAUACUCUCAAGUUUACAUCCAUGCUACAAAGUGUGGUCCAUGAACCAGCAGCAGCAACAGCAACACUGGAAGUUUUUUAUAAAUGCAGAAUCUCAAGCUUCACCCUAGACCUGCUGAAUCAGAACCUGCAUUUUAAGGAGAUCCUCAGGGGAUUUAUACACAUAUUACAGUUUCAGAAGCACUGCCUUAUGCCACUCCACUGCCCAUAAGAAAGUCUUUGUGAUAUUUGAAUAUCUACUAAUUGUGACGUAACCAUCCAUUGAAGUCAUCAUGAAGGACUCCCAAUAGCAACAAAUAUGUUAUAGAACUUUGGCAUUUUCAAAGCUCAUUCUAUUUCUGUUAUACUCACAGUUAACUGGUUGACUUUUAAACUGAUUUAGGUAUUUCACCUGUUACCUCAUGUACUUAAUGCACAUGCAAGUGGUUGCACAAGUGACAAGAAAACCUACCUCUAACACCUGGUGUUCUAGGACACCUUCCAAUACCAAAGAAAGAUUAGACAGAUCAGCAUCUGUUAUUGAGUAAUAUACUCUCAUUAGCUUAUCUUAGCAAUAUGGCCACAGAGCUUCUAGAUUCUGCAGAUAAUAAGUGAGAGACAGACUUCCAGAUUACCAUAGCCUCAGGAAAACUUGCUUGGGUGGCCUUAUCAGCAGAAAUGGAGAAAUAUUACCUCCUUUGGCUCCUCAUACCCCUUUACACCAGCCUCUCUCACUAACUGGGAUGCCCCUGGCUGCAAAUCAAGAAGGAAAUUAUCAUCUAAGUGUCAGUGAAUGGAUUCAAGGAUAAAACCUGCAAACGAAGGUUCAUGAUGGAAAACCAAAGAAAAUGCAACAUGGUACCAGAGAGGCACCCAAGACAAGUCAGGUGUGGGUAGUAUGGGCUCAUUGUACUUGAAGAAUACCAAAUUAAUAUUUACUGAAUGAAUAAAUAUAUCAUAAAUGAGUAAAUGAAAUGAAUUGGUCUGGAAUUCAUAUCUUUUAGGCUACUUUGUAUUUCUAAAUCCCUAUAGUUCCCUGCCAAACGAAAUCUUUAUGCAAUAUUUCUUUAUUCUUUCUCAUGCUUGAACUCACCUUACAGCUGGUGGGGAUUCCAUUGUGUUUCAACAGAACAACAUUGAAAUCCAGACAAGCCCAUCCUCAUAAGAUGGCCAUCCUCAUAAGAUCACUAGCUAUGGUUUUAAAAGUUUAAAUCUUGGUUCUAUCACUUGUAGGUUCUACCACUUGUAAUUUUGUGUAGUUACCUAACUUGUGGAGCCACUAAUACCUUCCCUUAUAAAAUAAGGCAAGUAAUGCCUCGUCUAUAAGGCUAUUGUGUGAUUUAGAGAGGAUAACAACUGUGGAAGUUUGUAGCAUAGUGUGGGUAUAGAAUAAUUCUUCAAUAAUGCACUGUACAUUUCUCAUGACCUCACCCUCACCCUACAUGUAUUGUUCUGGAUGUGCUUAAACCUCAUCCCUGUCCUUACUAGAUUCAACCUCUGAGACUAAUACAAAUUGUCUAGUUGUAUAAAUUAUUAAUGGAGACAAAGCACAGAAUUAGUUUUAUUUUUCUACUUUCAAGUUCAUUUGUACAUUCAUUCAUACAUUCAUCAAAUAAUCUAUUGAGCACUUAGCAAGCAUUAGAUAUAAUCCCAAUAUAUCCAACUAGAAAUAAGCCUCAUUAAGAAAAAAUUCUAGAGGUGCCUGGGUGGCUCAGUCAGUUAAGUGUCUGACUCUUGAUUUCAGCUCAGGUCAUGAUCUUACAGUUCAUGAGUUCAAGCCCGGAGUCAGACUCUGCACUGACAGUGCAGAGCUUGCUUGGGGUUCUGUCUCUCUCCCUCUCUGACCUUCCCCCACUCUCAUGCACACUCUCUCUCUC